UACGAAGGGUGCUAGCGUUGCUCGGAAUGACUGGGCGUAAAGGGCGCGUAGGCGGAUGGCUUUGUCGGGCGUGAAAUUCCAGGGCUUAACCUUGGGGCUGCGUUCGAGACGGGUUGUCUUGAGUGGGGAAGAGGGUCGUGGAAUUCCCAGUGUAGAGGUGAAAUUCGUAGAUAUUGGGAAGAACACCAGUGGCGAAGGCGACUUACUGGACACAUAUUGACGCUGAGGUGCGAAAGCGUGGGGAGCAAACAGG
rnacentral:rRNA from 1 species